rnacentral:rRNA from 1 species
GACGAACGCUGGCGGCGUGCCUAAUACAUGCAAGUCGACCUUAGUGGCGAGCGGGUUAGGAACACGUGGCUAACCUGCCCAUAAGAGGGGUGGAACACUUGGAAAAAGGUGCUAAUACCCUAUACGGGUUGAUAGUGCCGCUGUGCAUUAGCUAGUUGGUGGGGUAACGGCUCACCAAGGCCACGAUGCAUAGCAGGCCUGAGAGGAUGAGCGGCCACAUUGGGACUGAGACACGGCCCAAACUCCUACGGGAGGCAGCAGUAGGGAAUCUUGGGCAAUGGACGCAAGCCUGACCCAGCAAUGCCGCGUGAGUGAAGAAGGUUUUCGGAUCGUAAAACUCUGUUGGCAGAGAAGCGUUACCUAACCAGAAAGCCACGGCUAACUACGUGCCAGCAGCCGCGGUAAUAC